UACGUAGGUGGCAAGCGUUGUCCGGAAUUACUGGGUGUAAAGCGCGUGUAGGCGGGAGGCCAAGUCUGCUGUGAAAUCGCUCGGCUCAACUGGGCGGGGUCGGUGGAAACUGGUCACCUGGAGGACGGUAGAGGCGAGUGGAAUUCCCGGUGUAGUGGUGAAAUGCGUAGAGAUCGGGAGGAACACCAAUAGCGAAGGCAGCUCGCUGGGACGGUACUGACGCUGAGGCGCGAAAGCGUGGGGAGCGAACAGG
rnacentral:rRNA from 1 species